ensembl:lncRNA
UUGUGAGGCACGGAGGAAGAGGACAGCCCGGAGACUUUCCACACACACACACAUGCUUCACUGGAACUGCGACUCUCGGCAGACGGAUUUAUUUCUCUGUGUGGAUGCAGCUACUUCCUUAACGAUCAUGGGGGCCGUGGUCUGCUGUGGUCAGUGUGCAACACAGGCCUGCAUCCCAACAGGUGCUGAGCGUGUUGGUCUCUGAUGUUGAAUGGGCUCUUUGUUUCAGAAGAUUCCCCCUCAGAGAGAGGGCAGAGCCAGCAGAGCACCCCUGCCCCAACCUCUCCCCGCACACAGAGUUAUCAGCGGGAGGUGAUGUCGGUGUUUGUUUAUCCCAACGUCUAUGCAACUGUGUUUGAGUAACCCAGCUAUCCUUCAUUAAACGUAUUAGCUUUAAAGAUUGGGAGUAGGUGUGAGCAAACAAUUUAAUAGCAUAAUCUGUAAUCCUCAAAGCUUUUCAG